rnacentral:rRNA from 1 species
AGCGAACGCUGGCGGCAUGCCUAACACAUGCAAGUCGCACGGGGGGGCUUCGGCCUCCCAGUGGCGGACGGGGGAGGAACGCGUAGGGACCUGUCGAGGGGUGGGGGAUAACCGCGGGAAACUGCGGCUAAUACCGCAUGACGCCGCGGCGUGACAGCCGGGGCCAAAGGGGCAGGCGGCCCGCCGAGGGGGCUGCGUCCGAUUAGCCGGUUGGCGGGGUAGCGGCCCACCAAGGCGGCGACCGGUAGCUGGUCUGAGAGGGUGACCAGCCACACCGGGACUGAGGCACGGACCGGACUCGGACGGGAGGCAGCAGUGGGGAAUAUUGGACGAGGGGCGCAGGCCUGAUCCAGCAAUGCGGCGUGGGUGAGGAAGGUGUUCGGAUUGUAAAGCCGUUUCGGCGGGGACGAUGGUGACGGUACCCGCAGAAGAAGCCCCGGCUAACUUCGUG